GAUGAACGCUAGCGGCAGGCUUAACACAUGCAAGUCGAGGGGUAUUGGUUUUCGGACCAAGAGACCGGCGCACGGGUGCGUAACGCGUAUGCAAUCUACCUUUUGCAGAGGGAUAGCCCAGAGAAAUUUGGAUUAAUACCUCAUAGUAUAGUACUUUGGCAUCAAGGAACUAUUAAAGUCACAACGGCAAAAGAUGAGCAUGCGUCCCAUUAGCUAGUUGGUAAGGUAACGGCUUACCAAGGCUACGAUGGGUAGGGGUCCUGAGAGGGAGAUCCCCCCANACUGGUACUGAGACACGGACCAGACUCCUACGGGAGGCAGCAGUGAGGAAUAUUGGACAAUGGGCGCAAGCCUGAUCCAGCCAUGCCGCGUGUGUGAAGAAGGCCUUCGGUUGUAAAGCACUUUCAGCGAGAGGAAGGAGUGUG
rnacentral:rRNA from 1 species